AUGAACGCUGGCGGCGUGCCUAAUACAUGCAAGUCGAGCGAACAGACGAGGAGCUUGCUCCUCUGACGUUAGCGGCGGACGGGUGAGUAACACGUGGAUAACCUACCUAUAAGACUGGGAUAACUUCGGGAAACCGAAGCUAAUACCGGAUAAUAUAUUGAACCGCCUGGUUCAAUAGUGAAAGACGGUUUUGCUGUCACUUAUAGAUGGAUCCGCGCCGCAUUAGCUAGUUGGUAAGGUAACGGCUUACCAAGGCAACGAUGCGUAGCCGACCUGAGAGGGUGAUCGGCCACACUGGAACUGAGACACGGUCCAGACUCCUACGGGAGGCAGCAGUAGGGAAUCUUCCGCAAUGGGCGAAAGCCUGACGGAGCAACGCCGCGUGAGUGAUGAAGGUCUUCGGAUCGUAAAACUCUGUUAUUAGGGAAGAACAAAUGUGUAAGUAACUAUGCACGUCUUGACGGUACCUAAUCAGAAAGCCACGGCUAACCACGUG
rnacentral:rRNA from 1 species